UACGUAGGGGGCGAGCGUUGUCCGGAUUUAUUGGGCGUAAAGAGCUCGUAGGCGGUUCGAUAAGUCGGAUGUGAAAUCUCCACGCUCAACGUGGAGAGGCCAUUCGAUACUGUCGUGACUCGAGUCCGGUAGGGGAGUGUGGAAUUCCCGGUGUAGCGGUGAAAUGCGCAGAGAUCGGGAGGAACACCCGUAGCGAAGGCGGCACUCUGGGCCGGUACUGACGCUGAGGAGCGAAAGCCAGGGGAGCAAACGGG
rnacentral:rRNA from 1 species